rnacentral:rRNA from 1 species
CCUACGGGUGGCAGCAGUGGGGAAUAUUGGGCAAUGGGCGCAAGCCUGACCCAGCAACGCCGCGUGAAGGAAGAAGGCUUUCGGGUUGUAAACUCCUUUUCUCAGGGACGAAGAAAGUGACGGUACCUGAGUAAUAAGCCACGUCCUACUACGCACCAGCAGCCGUGGUAAUACGUAGGUUGCAAGCGUUAUCCGGAUUUAUUGGGUGUAAAGGGCUUGUAGGCGGGAGCGCAAGUCAGAUGUGAAAACUGAGGGCUCAACCCUGAGCCUGCAUUUGAAACUGUGGUUCUUGAGUGCUGGAGAGGCAAUCGGAAUUCCGUGUGUAGCGGUGAAAUGCGUAGAUAUACGGAGGAACACCAGUGGCGAAGGCGGAUUGCUGGACAGUAACUGACGCUGAGGCGCGAAAGCGUGGGGAGCAAACAGGAUUAGAUACCCCUGUAGUC